GGCGCUAUAGUGUAGUGGCAGCACAUGGGAUUCUGAAUCAAACAUUCCCAUAACCCAGGUUCGACCCCUGGUAGUGCCU